rnacentral:tRNA from 1 species
GGGGCUGGGGCUCAGCGGUAGAGCGCUCGCCUUGUAAGUGCAAGGCUCUGGGUUCGAUCCUCAGCACCA